rnacentral:rRNA from 1 species
AGAGCGAACGCUGGCGGCAGGCCUAACACAUGCAAGUCGAGCGCCCGUAGCAAUACGGGAGCGGCAGACGGGAUAGUAACACGUGGGAACGCGCCCUUCGGUUCGGAAUAACUCAGGGAAACUUGAGCUAAUACCGGAUACGCCCUUACGGGGAAAGAUUUAUUGCCGAAGGAACGGCCCGCGUCCGAUUAGCUAGUUGGUGAGGUAAUGGCUCACCAAGGCGACGAUCGGUAGCUGGUCUGAGAGGAUGACCAGCAUCACUGGGACUGAGACACGGCCCAGACUCCUACGGGAGGCAGCAGUGGGGAAUAUUGGACAAUGGGCGCAAGCCUGAUCCAGCCAUGCCGCGUGGAUGAUGAAGGCCUUAGGGUUGUAAAGUCCUUUAACGGGGAAGAUAAUGACGGUACCGUAGAAUAAGCCCGGCUAACUUCGCGCCAGCAGCCGC